CUCUGAUGACAAUCCAGAGGAGAGUGUCUAUGUCAGAGAGGAUGAGCACCUCAGGCAAAGGUUUCUUGACUCGUUCCAUCGUGGGCUCCAUGUUGGAGGAUGUUGACAUGGUGAGAACUGAUGGACACGAGAUACACCGGCCAUCCUCCUCAAAGUCCUCCCUGUCCAUCACCUCUGCCAUGACCAGAGGGUCCCAGAGUGAUUUUACAAAUUCUCUUCCAGGCACUCCAGUCUCCAAUGAGUGGCCUGUUGAAAGCUUUUGUCCUAUCAUUAGGAGUUCGGUCAUUGAUAUGAGUGACUCCUCAACACAUUCACAAGGGUCAACAAAUUACACAAGGCAAACCAUCUCUGCCAUAGUUGACACUGUUAUGGAGGUAAUUCCAAGAAAAGAUACGGAACACAUAGCCACUGCAGAUGAUGUCACUUCUUUUACAAGAAGACUUGCGAGACUCAGCCCCAGAGACUUCUCACAUGAGCUCACUGACAAAGUUUAUGAGCUCAUAAAAAGUCACAACACCCCCCAGGCUCUUUUUGUGCCAGCUGGCAAGAGCGUGUCUGACUCUAUUCUUUUGAAGCUGAAGACAGGAUUGAAUGCUUCUGAAGAAUCCAGGGAGUUUCCAUCUGACCUUGUGUACUCCUUUGCUAAGGAGUCAAUAAAACGUCUGCUACAGCAGAUUAUCUUCUGGCUUCCUCCACCAUCACAAGGAUCCGGUUUCUGCCAAACUAUCAUCUCUGAUGGUUCUCUGCAGGACACAAGUCGGCUUAUCCCAAGCUCUUCUGCCAUCUCCAUUAGUUCCUCACAGGUUUACUGUGACACAAAGAGCCUUUUCACCAAUAUAAUGGUCAAUCAGGUGGAUACCUGUUCUGUGGCCUCAAAUUCAUCAGUGAAAUUAUCAGAGUUGAUGAACAUAAUCAAUGGGUUGUCCCCAACUGAUGCUGGAACACUUGACUCUGACAGACCGGCUCUCAUGACCACUAGCCGUCAGUCUAGUGCCAAAUUAUUGCCUAGACCCUCUCUGUCUGGCAGCAGCACACACAACGGUGGAACUGUGGAUAUUCAAGUUUUAGGAGAGGUGGAAUCCAAGAUGGACAACAAAGAUCUGGAGAUGUCUAGUGUCUCUGUGCAUCCAUCAACUCCAUCAGCCAUGGUCUUCGAUACACAUGCAUCAUUUGACUCCACUAGCAAUGACUACACCUCUCUGGUACUUUUACUGAUUAUUAGAUUGCUGUCAAUGAUCACCCCUAUCACAUUACUGGAAUCCUCUGACAUUGGUGAAACAUCAAGAGUUCUCACAAAGAGGAUUUUGUCUGAGUUCUGUGGCACCUCAGGCCUUGAACCAACUCAAGCCUACCCCCAGAAUCUGAAAAUCAAAAUGAUUUUCAAGGCUGUCUACAAGGGGCUUCUUCAAGAAUUUGGGUCAGAGAAGAUGCUCCAGGUUGCAAUGAAGUCAACGGAUUAUGCAUUUGACGAUGCCCUGGUCAAAUCAUUAACUAGGGAACUGCUAACUAAAUGCAAUGAGGCUAGCUCUUCACCUCACUCCAUGACCCAGUUGUCAUCACACAAUGCACUUGGCAGUGACGAGUUAGGUAAUUCUGGGCUUCCAACAACUGGUAAAAAGGAAAAGAAGAGGGGAAGAUUCAACGCUCUCUGUGGAUUCAACCCAAAGGUACAUAUGUCAUCAAAAUACAUCAAAAUAAAUAUAUUCAUUACGUACUGUGUGAUGGUAAACACUGAUACCUUUUGUGUGCAAUUUCUCCUACUGUACAAAUGACUGUUUGUUUUCCAGUGUACACAGAAGGUCAACAAGAGGAACCACUGCACUCCAACACCUUCCCAGAACGAGACCCCUGCUAUCAGUGAAACAGCAAUUGUCAAUGAUCAAGAAUCCUGCCUUACAGAGAGUGUAUGCUCCACCAAGAAGAAACCAAAGAAGCGUUCGCUCAUUUCUAGGAUGUUUUCAGCUAUAGGCAAAGCCUUGUCCCGUCCCUUUACUUCCUGCUAUAAAAGGAAGAGCACCUAAUCUAUAUUUCAAAAUAAAUAUUUGAAAUAAACAUAAUUGCA